rnacentral:misc_RNA from 1 species
CCAAAAGAGCGAGAAAUCGUUUCUUACUGCCUGCUCGGUGGCCCCCUGGGCCGCUGACUGGUCAACCCUUUGUGAACCAAAAAACCUUUUCGCUUCGGCAGCUGGGCCUGACCGCCUGUCAGCCUGCCGCUAGCACCCAACCGAAAAAACCUGUUGUCAGAACAUUGUCUGAUAACCGAAAUUUUCGAAUGAAAAUCA